UUAUAAAAGUAUCAUCAAUGUCCAAGCAGGCAGGGGAUUUAUCCUCUGUGCUAACUGGACAUUCAACGAUCUGACCUGUAUGAGCAAGUAAGACAUUCGCCUGGAUUGCGAAUACAGGCAGCGAUGUCGAGAGUGCACAGCACGAAGACAUGACUUUUAUAU
rnacentral:sRNA from 1 species